rnacentral:misc_RNA from 1 species
CGCUCUGUACUUUGGCAUCUUCCUCCGCUCGCCUCGCUGAGACGCACUCACCAAGGUUUCUUUAAAGGCAAGGGUCCUACGGCGCGGCACACUUGCACUCGGGUGAGCGAGCUUGCUGGGCACGCACGCGCCCUCGUAUACAGCAUCGCGCAUCUACUGGAGCGUAAGGGGCUAUAUAUGUAUAUAUAUAUAUUAUCUGAGGUGCUUCUCCUGCCCAAAGCCGUCCCUCGCUGAUCGCCUUUUCCGGUACCCUUCCUUUCUCGAGUUGCGGUCGUAUCUAAGACAAACGCGAGGGCCUCAAAGGCACUGGUGUGCACGAGCACAUAAUGUAUCGCACGGGCGCGCGUUGCAGCGCGAGCGUGCUGUGCAAAGACUACCCGCAUGCGCGCCACAUUACCCUCAACCGACCCAAUUCACUGAACGCGCUGGAUUAUGGCAUGAUACGGGAGCUGCACCGUCUGUACGUGACAGAGCCAGCUUCUCCGUCAUCCCUGUACAUCCUCACCGGGGCGGGCACAAAGGCAUUCUGCGCCGGCGGCGAUGUGAUCGGCCUCGCGACGAACAACCCGCCCGGAUGCGGUCGUGAAUUCUUCUACUGGGAGUACCAAGUAGACUACAAGGCGAGCAUCAUUCCUGCUGGGCAGGUGUGCUUGUGGGACGGCUACGUGCUCGGCGGCGGCGCUGGCUUAUCGAUUGGAAGCGCUUAUCGGGUGGCGUCGGAGAAGGCGUGCUUUGCAAUGCCUGAGGUGGCCAUAGGUAUGUUCCCCGACGUAGGGGCUUCGUGGUUCCUGCCGCGGCUGUCGGUGCCUGGGCUGGGGCUCUAUAUGGGGCUCACCGGCCACCGGCUCCGCGGGGCCGACCUUGUGCACCUUGGGCUUGCAACACACUUUGUGCCAUCUGCCAAGAUGGGCGAGCUGGAGCAGGCUCUCGUCUCGAUGUCGGACGCAGGUGAUGUGGAGGCGGUGCUGGACAAGUACACGACACCGAUAGCGCAGCUGCCACCAUGCACCAUCGCCUAUUCCAUUUCUUCUCUCGCCGAUCAUUUUGACAUCACGGCAGAUCUGACCGUAUCGUCCAUCUUGGACGCGUGCAGAGCGAAUGCGCAGACGGAUCCGCUGACCAAGGCAGCGGCGGAUCUCAUGCCCUCCUUCUCCCCGACGGCAAUGACGCUCGCACUGGAGCUGCUGAAGCGCGGCGCGAAGCUGAGCACACCCGUGGAGGCGUUCCAGAUGGAGUACUGCGUUUCCCAGCGCAUCAUGGCGGAACACGACUUUCGCGAAGGUGUGCGAGCCCUGCUCAUUGAUAAAGACAAGAAGCCGAAAUGGCAACCGUCAACUGUUGCCGAGGUUGCGGCGGAGGCCAUCGAUGCGUACUUCCGCCCCACCACACCGAAUCAGCCGGUCUGGGAUCCAGUGGCGCCGCUCUCGGAGCCCGCAGCGUGAGCUUGCCGGACUUGUGUCGUCGGGAGCGUGCCUUGCUGGCCUUCGUCAUCUCUGUUCUGCCCGGCUGCACCCCCUAGCCUGGUGAGUAGGAGGGCCACUCCGGCAUCUCCUUACUCGCCAAGGUGCGCCUCGCCUGCACGUCAUAAUGCAUACAGUCGCGUUUCAUCAGCAUCUUCCAUGCGAAGGUGUAAGCGAAUGUGUCGCUCUGGGCGAGUUGCGCCCCCUCCCCCUCCCCUGAUCCACAAAAAUACACGCUUCACGACACCCAGGUACACUGAUGUGAACCCGCACAGCCAUAGGUGCGAGCUUUACGGAAACGUGAUGGAUGCUGCGACGCUGCUGUGGUAUCUUGCGCGCUCGACAUUCUUGGUGGAUCUUGCUAAUCAAAGGCCGUGGGAGGGCCCUUGCGCACCUUCACGCCAAAGCAGCCGCAGCCGUAGCGCCUACCCCGAAAAGCGCAGACAACAGAGGCUUGCUCAGAGAAGCUGAUCCACUGUCCUUCCGCUCCAUAGUGCCGCUGCGCCGCGCACGCCUGUACAUCCCUCUGAGGCCACGCCAGGGGGCUGCCGUGCGCAUUUGGCGAGGGAGGUGUGCAGGCCGGAUGGCGGUGUCGACACAACACUUUCGCAGCUGUCAUGCCGGUGUGCAGGCAUUGACACCCGUCGAAGCUCCGCACGCGUGCACCUUUCUCAUGCGCAGCCGUCGUGUGCAGGCCCAGCAUACCGCUCGCCGGCGAGCUGCGGGCAGAUGGCGCGGUAUAGACAGGCACCAGAUCAAGAGCGGGCGCGAUGCCGAACAACCAUCAUGCACUCGUGCGCGCAGCGAGAAGAUCCUGUGGCUGCCUUGCUUGCAGCCACGACGCUGAGUGUGAAGCACUGAUGCCGGUACUUGACGCGCUGCGAGGACAGCUCGAUCGGCUGCGACACAGGAAAAUCAAAUGCUGCCGUUGUUACGCACGCGCUCCCCCUCCGCAUGGCGCUCAGCACUGUCCCUGCAGCGGUGGAGGAUGGCAUGCUGCGAUGUAUCUGGGCGCAAGUUCUGGCGCUGCUGGCCCGUCGCGUGCGCCCCCACAAUAUCGUUUGCCGGUGGCCAUUGCGGAUGGUAGCACAUGGAUAAGGUGGACAAGCUCGCAACUUUGGCCGUGCCAAAGACACCGACACCAACUGCACGGGCUACAGAUAUGGUCCCACUGCUCUCCGACGCCAGGUCGGCAUCCCCCGUCUACCCACACGAUAGGCGCUGCCACUUCCGCUCUCGAGCAGGACCGUGGACGCUGCCGCCUUGAGUCAAGGUAUGCCGCCCACCCGAGUUUCCGUCUGGCGACCGAUCCCGCAGCCGGCAUCGGAAGAAGGGACGAGGAAGGACGAGCAGAGCCCGCAAGACGCAUGCCCCCAACACGACGGCAGGACGGUUCGUCCUAGACGGCCAGGAUGUAGCCGCAGUGCGACAGAGGUAGAUGAGCGGUGGUUGUGUAUGCGUGUGCUAGUUGUGGACUUGUCCGUGGGUGGAAGGUGGGCGCGCUG